rnacentral:rRNA from 1 species
UACGUAGGCAGCGAGCGUUGUUCGGAAUUACUGGGCGUAAAGGGUGCGUAGGUGGCGCGCUAAGUCGGGUGUGAAAUCUCGGAGCUUAACUCCGAAAUUGCAUUCGAUACUGGCGUGCUUGAGGACUGGAGAGGAGACUGGAAUUCAUGGUGUAGCAGUGAAAUGCGUAGAGAUCAUGAGGAAGACCAGUGGCGAAGGCGAGUUUCUGGACGGUAACUGACGCUGAGGCACGAAGGCCAGGGGAGCAAACGGG